UCCAUCACUGUUAUGGGGGUGAACCUCAAUGCGGGGUAGACCGCAAUGCUACACUUCUUGGGAUUUCUAGAAAUUGUAGUAGUUGCAACUAAUUAAAAGCCAGAAAAUGGUUGUAUAUGCAUUUUAGAAUACCCUUAAAAGUUAACAUCAACAGUAUUUUGCCACAAAGGCAAGUAUCUAUUUAUAGCGUAAGUUAAUGCCAAUCCAUAACAGCUUUAUGACAAUCGAGUUAUUUAAAUUAAAAAUAUGUUUCAUGUGCUAUAUGCUCAGUGCUUCCAAUACUUUUGUGGCAGGUUUUGAAGGUUUUGUUUAGGAACGGAUUCAAGACAGUAUAUGGGGACGUUUGAAGAGAACCAAAUUUGGAGAAAAAUGCAACAAAGGAAUUUUCAUUUCAGAUUUAGUAUUUUACAGUUGCAUUCUGACAAUACAAUUGAUGUGCCAAACAAAUGAGCCUCCUAUAUCUUUAAUUGUUAUUAAAAAAUAGUUUCAGAGGCUACAGUUUGGAAUAAAAUAUAAAUGACACGGGGAAUCUAUAUGAGGACUUCUAGAUGAGCCGCCAGAGGACUUAUAUGAGACACCACUCGAACAAAAGAUCGUCAUCUUCAAGGGUCUCUCGAUUGUGUCCACCAUGAAAGAUCAUCAUCUUCAAGGGUCUCGAUUGUGUCCACUGCCGGUUUCUGUGCUCUCGUCCUCUGUCCAUUAACUGUCAUUAUAAAUAUGGUUGCUCUUCAUCUGUAAUAUAGCAAAGAAUAGUUACACAAUUGCAACUAUAAUAGUCAAUUGUGACUGUGACUAUUUUUCACCAACAAAAAUACUUCAUUCUUAAAUGUGCACUCAGCGUUUGUUUGGUUAGCAAUAAAUUAUAAAUUAAUUAAGAGAAAUCAAUCUUUUUUUUCCCUUCUACACAACAAUCACAACAAUACAAUCAUAAACUAUAAUGAGUCUACUAAUCAGUCUCUGCCACAACAUAGUAAAAUGGUACAUUUUAUUCAAUUACACGGUAAAACUUUUGUUAAAUUAUCCUAAACAGAAAAAAGUUGAGUUUCAAUAUACAAAAAUACAUAUGCAAUAUGAUUUAGACAUCUAAUUAUUACCACU
rnacentral:lncRNA from 1 species